rnacentral:ribozyme from 13 species
AAGUAAGAAAGCCUCACAUGAACUAUGGAACUCCUUUCUUCUUCUUCUUUUUUUUUUUUUUUUCCUUUUUAAUUUACUUUAUUGUAUUUCGCUCAUCUUAGACGUAAAGGAUCGAGAAGGACUGGGCGCCCUGGAAAGUAAAGUUUCCCUGAGAUAUUUGUUCUAUAUCAGCCUGGUGAUUUGGGAUUUAUGUUUUUGUUGUUAU